AUUGAACGCUAGCGGCAUGCUUUACACAUGCAAGUCGAACGGUAACAGGCCGCAAGGUGCUGACGAGUGGCGAACGGGUGAGUAAUGCAUCGGAACGUGCCCAGUCGUGGGGGAUAACUACUCGAAAGAGUAGCUAAUACCGCAUACGAUCUAUGGAUGAAAGCGGGGGACCGUAAGGCCUCGCGCGAUUGGAGCGGCCGAUGUCAGAUUAGGUAGUUGGUGGGGUAAAGGCUCACCAAGCCAACGAUCUGUAGCUGGUCUGAGAGAACGACCAGCCACACUGGGACGGAGACACGGCCCAGGCCCCUACGGGAGGCAGCAGUGGGGAAUUUUGGAAAAGGGGCGGAAGCCUGAUCCAGCAAUGCCGGGGGCAGGAAGAAGGCCUUCGGGUUGUAAACUGCUUUUGUACGGAACGAAACGGCUCUGGUUAAUACCCGGGGCUAAUGGCGGUACCGUAAGAAAAAGCACCGGCUAACCACGU
rnacentral:rRNA from 1 species